rnacentral:rRNA from 1 species
CCCGCUGAACUUAAGCAUAUCAAUAAGCGGAGGAAAAGAAACUAACAAGGAUUCCCCUAGUAACGGCGAGUGAAGCGGCAAGAGCUCAAAUUUGAAAUCUGGUCUUUAUUGAUCCGAGUUGUAAUUUGUAGAGGAAAGUUCGGCAAAAUCUUUGAUCAAAGUUUUCUGGAACGAAACGUCAUGGAGGGUGAGAACCCCGUAUUUGAUUAUUAGAUUGCGCUAUGUGAACUUCCUUCGAAGAGUCGAGUUGUUUGGGAAUGCAGCUCAAAAUGGGUGGUAAAUUCCAUCUAAAGCUAAAUAUUGGCCAGAGACCGAUAGCGCACAAGUAGAGUGAUCGAAAGAUGAAAAGCACUUUGGAAAGAGAGUGAAACAGUACGUGAAAUUGUUGAAAGGGAAACGCUUGAAGUCAGUCGCGUCGGCCGAGACUCAGCCUUGCCUCGGCUCGGUGUAUUUCUUGGCCCGACGGGUCAGCAUCAAUUUUGCCCCUUGGAUAAUGGCUAGGGAAAUGUGACACCUUUAUAGGUGUGUUAUAGUCUCUCGUCGCAUGCAAGGGUCAGGAUUGAGGAACUCAGCAUGCACCUUCGGGUGUCGGGGCUUUUGUCCACGAUACAUGCUUAGGAUGUUGGCGUAAUGGCUUUAAACGACCCGUCUUGAAACACGG